GAGCUGGUGCUCCUCACAGAAGUACAGAGGGACCAUCUUCUCAUUACACCUACAGAACCUGACAGAAACAUUCCUUGAGCUCGAGGAUUUCUUCUGCCCACAUUCUGCCUGAGAAUUCAAGCAAGGAGAAGCAGAAGAUACUGAGCUCUUAGGAAGGUCUGGAAAAGUCAAAGAACCUGUAAUUUCUCUUUACACACGAAGUUCAGGCCCAAAACUUCCACCCAUCUAACACUUCAGC
rnacentral:lncRNA from 1 species